rnacentral:rRNA from 1 species
AGAUUGAACGCUGGCGGCAUGCCUAACACAUGCAAGUCGAACGGGAGUAGCAAUACUCUAGUGGCGGACGGGUGAGGAAUACGUAGGAAUUUGCCCUUAAGUGGGGGAUAACCCGGGGAAACCCGGAUUAAUACCGCAUGACCUCGAAAGAGCAAAGUGGGGGAUCGCAAGACCUCACGCUUUUGGAGAAGCCUACGUCGGAUUAGCUAGUUGGUGAGGUAAUGGCUCACCAAGGCGACGAUCCGUAACUGGUCUGAGAGGAUGAUCAGUCACACCGGAACUGAGACACGGUCCGACUCCUACGGGAGGCAGCAGGUGGGGAAUAUUGGACAAUGGGCNCGAAGCCUG